ACUCCUACGGGAGGCAGCAGUGGGGAAUAUUGGACAAUGGGCGGAAGCCUGAUCCAGCAACGCCGCGUGGGGAUGAAGGCCUUCGGGUUGUAAACCUCUUUCAGUACCGACGAAGCUUUUUGUGACGGUAGGUACAGAAGAAGCACCGGCCAACUACGUGCCAGCAGCCGCGGUAAUACGUAGGGUGCGAGCGUUGUCCGGAAUUAUUGGGCGUAAAGGGCUCGUAGGCGGUCUGUCGCGUCGGAAGUGUAAACAUCUGGCUCAACCGGGUGCUUGCUUUCGAUACGGGCAGACUUGAGGCAUGCAGGGGAGAAUGGAAUUCCUGGUGUAGCGGUGAAAUGCGCAGAUAUCAGGAGGAACACCGGUGGCGAAGGCGGUUCUCUGGGCAUGUCCUGACGCUGAGGAGCGAAAGUGUGGGGAGCGAACAGGAUUAGAUACCCUGGUAGCGAGUA
rnacentral:rRNA from 1 species